rnacentral:rRNA from 1 species
UACGAAGGGGGCUAGCGUUGCUCGGAAUCACUGGGCGUAAAGCGCACGUAGGCGGAUUUUUAAGUCAGGGGUGAAAUCCUGGAGCUCAACUCCAGAACUGCCUUUGAUACUGGGAAUCUCGAGUCCGGGAGAGGUGAGUGGAACUGCGAGUGUAGAGGUGAAAUCCGUAGAUAUUCGCAAGAACACCAGUGGCGAAGGCGGCUCACUGGCCCGGUACUGACGCUGAGGUGCGAAAGCGUGGGGAGCAAACAGG